rnacentral:tRNA from 1 species
UCUUUUCUUUUGAUAGGAGAGUUUUUAAAACCAGUGUUAUUUUUGUAAGUUUAAGAGAAGUUUGUGUAUUGAAUUUUUAAUAUUAAAGAGCUUUGUUAAACUUAGACUUAAGUUUAGGUCAUUUUGGGGGUUUAGCUCAGUUGGCUAGAGCAUCGGCUUUGCAAGCCGAGGGUCAAGGGUUCGAGUCCCUUAACCUCCAUUGGGCUUAUGCCCUAAAUCGUAAUUAAGUAUGUUUUUAAGUAACUUUGUUAAAGUAAUUGUUGGAAUGUGAAACAGAGGAAGUUAAAAUUUCUGGGUUAAGUUGAGAUCUGUUGAUAUUAAGAAGAAUCUCUAGAAGCAAAAGCAAGCUUUCGAUAAAACCCGAAGUUGUUUCGCUAAAGUGCAAGGAUUAAACAGGAUUGUAUUUUCCAGUAGCCUAUUUUAUAAACGAUCUGCAUUUAGUAAAUAGUUUUUAGUUAAGAAAUAAUGUAGAUUGCUAAGUGUGAUGCCUGAAAGAAGGACAAGUAUUGUAGCGAGCCUAAAUCCUUGUUAUCGUUGCCAGUAUUUAGUGGUAGGGAUUCGGAUAAGACUGCCAUUUAUAAGUUGGAGGAAGGCAAAGAUUGCAUUAAAUCGUUAUCGCUCUUAUGUUUUAGGUUACAAGUUUGCCACAAUAACCCAAAAAAGCUAAGCAAAAUGCUAUAAAGCAGAUUUCAGUUUGGAUUUGCCCGACACUCAAUGGCAUGAAGUUGUAAUUGUUAGUAAUCG